GUCUGUCUCUUCGUUUUUAAUUCCGGUGUGAAGAAAAUUAGAAGAACAAUUCCGGUGCGAGUAGCGGCUUAAAGGAUUUUCUUCAUCUCCCACCAAACCUUCAUAGCGAGUAGCGGCUUAAAGGAUUCACUGCAAUCACCGAAGUGCCAACUUUGUCAGUGAUGGAAAUAUGGCGUCAUUUCACUCGGAGAAAUGUUGAAGAACCCUCUUGCAAUUACUGUGGAAGGACUUAUAGGGCUAACAUGUCCAGAAAUGGAACUUCUGCCUUGUGGAAUGCUUAGAAGUUGCAAUAAUGCUUAGAAGU